UGAGUAACGCGUGAGGAUCUGCCUACAGGACUGGGACAACAUUGGGAAACUGAUGCUAAUACCGGAUGUGCCGAGAGGUGAAAGGCUUGCUGCCUGUAGAUGAACUCGCGUCAGAUUAGCUAGUUGGUAGUGUAAUGGACUACCAAGGCGACGAUCUGUAGCUGGUCUAAGAGGAUGAACAGCCACACUGGGACUGAGACACGGCCCAGACUCCUACGGGAGGCAGCAGU
rnacentral:rRNA from 1 species